AGAGUUGUGGCCGAGUGCUUCUCGUCCUGCAAAAGCAAAAUGCAAAUAAUGCCGCUAAGAGAAACAGCACUUUGAAAGCUGUUGUUCAUGGGUGUAUCAGACAACAUCCUGAUUAAUUCAGGCAUGACGGGAUUACUGAUGGCAUCCUCCCCCCCACAGCACUAAAGGUGACCCUGCUAACAUUGCUGAGUCUACAAACCCAACGUCCUCAAAGUCAUUCUCCCACAUCCACGCUCGAGUACCAGAGGAGAGGGAACAUUUCUCUUUUUUAAUCAAAUGAUGUCACCUAAUGAGCACUCUGGCAUAUGCCUGCAUCGUCCAGCACGGCCACCGGAUACAAAUGGACACUGCACACUGUCACGGCCCCACAGGGGGAACAAGAUCUGUAUCUUUUUUUAAUGUAAAGGAACACCUUCAGCACAUUUGGUAUGAGGAGUAAAGAAUCGUCUUUGAGCAUUGUCUGAAUGAGAGGACAUUGGACAGCAG